CGUUGUGCCUGCAAUCCUUUGCCUUCUAGCACAGAUAACCAUGUCUGGAGUUAAGGGUCAGCAAAAGAAAUGCCCUGAUCCAUGCCCUCCACCACCAAAAUGUCAAGAUCCCUGCAAGGAUCCUUGCCAUAAGACAGUCCCACAGUGCCAAGACCCAUGCCAGAAGACUCACCAAAAGCAGGUCCAUAGCCAGGACCAUAUCCAGGACCAGAACCCACCCCAUCACUAAAGGACAUAAUGAGAUGAGAAUCUUCUCCCAGCUAUUGCCUUCUAUGGAUACAACAAGACAAUGAUCUGCUGGUGGCUGCAGCUUUCUACAAUCUAAAGAUGAUUUCACAACUUAAAAAUGAAAAUCCUUGAAAUUUACUAAUAAAUAAUUUAAUUUGAAAGGCCA